rnacentral:rRNA from 1 species
GACGAACGCUGGCGGCGUGCUUAACACAUGCAAGUCGAACGGAAAGACCAUGCUCUUGUUGGGUGCUCGAGUGGCGAACGGGUGAGUAACACGUGAGUAACCUGCCCUUGACUGUGGGAUAACAUCAGGGAACUGGGGCUCAUACCGGAUAGGAGAUCCUGCAGCAUGGUGGGGGUUGGAAAGAUUCGGCGGUUGGGGAUGGACUCGCGGCUUAUCAGCUGGUUGGUGGGGUAGUGGCUUACCACGGCUUUGACGGGUAGCCGGCCUGAGAGGGUGACCGGCGACAUUGGGACUGAGGUACGGCGCAGACUCCUACGGGAGGCAGCAGUCGAGAGUAUUGCACAAUGGGCGGAAGCCUGAGACAGCAACGCCGCGUGCGUGAUGCUGGCUUUCGGGGUGUAAACCGCUUUCUCCUGUGACGAAGCGUGAGUGACGGUAACGGGUAAAGAAGCAACGGCUAACUACGUG